rnacentral:rRNA from 1 species
UCGAGGUAGUAACAAGCAGAUCAAUAGGACCUCUCCCUGCUCUUUACUCAGUUAUCCCCAAGGUAACUUUACCCUUUAUCCUAAAGGAUCCAAAAAUAAAUGAAAAAUAUACAUUUACCCCAAACAAAUCUAACUAUAAGAAAAGCUCUUGGGGUCUUUCCGUCUAAUAUUAUAAUAGUGGGUUCUUAACCACCAAACUAAAUUCAGAAACAAACUAUCACCUUAAUCACACCUCGUUGAA